GUCUACGGCCACACCUAGGCGAAAACACCAGUUCCCGUCCGAUCACUGCAGUUAAGCGUCUGAGGGCCUCGUUAGUACUAUGGUUGGAGACAACAUGGGAAUCCGGGGUGCUGUAGGCUCAC
rnacentral:rRNA from 1 species